rfam:Desulfovibrio piezophilus C1TLV30 complete genome
GGAGCCGGACAGACUGUCGCCGCGAUUUGUAUCGGGGAGGAAAGUCCGGGCUCCACAGGGCAGAACGCUGGGUAACUCCCAGGGGGAGCGAUCUCCGUCACGUGCAACAGAGAGUAGACCGCCUUCGGGUAUAUCCCGGAGGUAAGGGUGAAAGGGUGGGGUAAGAGCCCACCGGCUGUCGUAGUGAUACGGCAGGCCAGGUGAACUCCGUUCGGAGCAAGACCAAAUAGGGUAGCGCAGUAGAUCGGCCCGAUCGAGCUACCGGGUAGGUUGCUUGAGGCGUCUGGUAACAGCCGUCCUAGAUGAAUGACAGUUGCCCCGAAAGGGGAACAAGACCCGGCUUAUCGACCGACUCCAGAC